GCCUUGCGAGCCAGCCGUAUUCACACGAGAUCACGGGAUAAUCCUAAACCUAAUGUUCUCACCUUCCACUCCCAAAACUACUGCAAUUAAAUGCCAGGGUUUGUCCUUUCUGACAUUGUCCUUAUAAAAAGGAUGAUUUAUUUCAUACAUUUUUUUAUGUUGCUCCACUUCGACAAUCAGUCUCUCGUCGUCCAUGUUGCCGACCCUCUGAUUGAUUGACUGCUAGUCUGGCUGAGCGGAAAUGGACAGCGUCUAUACACUAAUCCGGCGAAACAGGAAGUAAAGCAGCGCCGACAUUGCUGAGUUGCUGGAAACAGGUGACUUAACGUGUUUUGCUAAGGAAGUAGCGUGUUGGUCCCCGUAGGCGGUUGUUGCUGAUAAUAAUAUAAUUGUAGUGCGUAUGUGAUUGUAGCCUAAUUGAAGAGGGCGUCUAACCAAUUCCGACGGGUGCGAAGUGUAUAAAUUAUGAUGGCAAGGCUGUACAUGAUCUGGGAAACUUGUUUGUUACAUGAAUUUAUGUUGGAUUCGUGGAAAUUGACAAAUGCAUGUAUAUCGAGCUGCUUAACUACAAAAGAGAUGGCUCAUAUCCCCCAGGUAUUUCUAAGGAGCAGAAAUAUAUCAUUCGAAGGCGCUUCGCCCAUUUCCUACUAGAUGGUAACGAUAUGCCUACCUCAAAAACAAUUCCCUGAUCUCCUGCUCUUAUCAAUAGCUUAACAGAAAAAAGGACGUGUUUCUUGUAGGCUACUGACAACAACCUUGUUUCAAUAGGUGAUACAAUGUAUUACAUAUCUUCGAAAAAUGAAAUGGAGGUGCACAAGAAAGUUCUGGUUGGCGCGGAGGAGGCCAAUCAGAUUCUUUGGGAUUUUCAUGAUAGUGCUCAUGGAGGCCACUGUGGAACCCAAAAAAACAAAUAUUCAGUCACCGCCAGGUUUUACUGGCCUGGAUUGGGGGUUGACUUGGAUAAAUGGGUUUCACAGUGGGCUAAAUGACAAUACACCAGGCUCUCCAUUAAAAAGGAGCCAGAAUAUAUCCCAAUCCAUGUUGACCACCCACUUGAGUUAGUUGGGAUGGACUUGGUUGGAAAACUAACUCCAUCAGAUGAUGGAAACAUGUAUAUGUGUGUCAUGGUCGACUACUAUACCAAAUGGGCAGAGGUCUAUGCCAUACCCAAUAAGAGUGCUGAGGUGGUCACCCAGUGCAUCAUCAACUUUUUUUACAGGUUUGUUGCACCACAACGCAUCCUCACAGAUCAGGGCAGUGAGUUUGUGAAUGAGUUUGCUGAACACCUCCUGGAAGGGUCAAGCUCAUUACAAUUCCCGACAUCAAACAUAUAUGACCUGAGGAGGGGAAAUAGCCACCACCAUCAUGACUGGAUCUGAUGACUUGAGUGACUUGUGUCAUUUCUGUGGGGAGGAAGACACCUUUGAUAAAACGGAAAACGUUACUUGGAUUGCGUGUGAUGCCUGUCUGAGGUGGUUUCACACAGGGUGUGUCGGAAAUCCAGCCAUGGAGAUGCCUGUUUAGCAUGCCUGCGUCCAUUAAAUAGGCUACUAGGGCUGGGCAAGUUGGCACCCAAUUAAGCGUUAACGCAAUCUUGUCUUUUUUUUUACAAAUGGACGCAUUAAAGCGCGUUAUGAUUAAAGGUGACCUUGACAGGUGGUUUGAUCUCCUGUUGUCCUGGAUGGGUAGAAUAAGUUUAAUUAAGAUGAAUGUACUUCCCAGGAUAUUGUACUCCAUGCGAAUGCUGCCAUUAAAGAUCAAUAGGAAAGUAAUUUUGGGUAUCGAACGAUCUGUCGAAAUUCAUAUGGCACGGAAAGAAAGCUAGAAUAAAGAUGAAGAUAUUGCAAUCACCAAUAGACGGGGGGGUCAUGCAUUCCCUAAUUUUCUAUACUACAAUUGGGCUUGUCACGCCCGUAUAAUAUCAGGUUGGCUUAGAUAUUUUCUACAUCAAAGGGAGCCUCCUUUGGAUGCUUGGUGAUGCGCCCCUCCAUCUAUUUUCAGCCUUGCCUCAACUGCCUUAGGUGAACUCCCAGCAGAGGUUAAAAAUAACUUUAUUAUGCUUGACACACUUAGGAUUUGGAGUGAUAUCUCUAAACACAUUGGCCGAAGAGAGUCUUCAUCAGCGUUACAACCUUUAACUAGGAACAAAGCUUUCACUCCAGGCAUUGGAGUGACCAUUUUCGAUGAUUGGUUUUCAAAGGACCCAAGAUUUGUUUCUGAUUUAUUUAAAGACGGUAAUUUCAUGUCAUUCAUUCAAAUCCAAAAUAAGUUCCAAGUAGCACGUAACCACUUCUUUGGUUUUCUCCAAGUGAGGCAUUUUGUAAAAUCGUAUCUUAAAUUACCGAAUGAUAAACCAAUGUUAAGUCCUAUUGAAAGCUUCGUUCUUAAUUUUAAUGCCUUUAAUGACAAGAAAUGUCUUUCUCUCUUAUGGAAAAUUAAUGCCUUUAACUCUGCUAAUUCUGACAGAGCGAGGAACCUAUUGGAAAAGGACUUGGAGGUUGAACUCAGCACAGGGGCCCGGUACAAUGCUUUUAUGUCUGCUAAGAAAAUAUUUACAUGCAACAGACUCCGGGGAGUCAAUAUAGAAUAUUACACAGAAUGCAGCGUACUCCUCACUUCCUACAAAAAAUUAAUCCUGAGAACUCUCCCCUCUGACUAAGUGUAUUAAAGAAAUAGAAAAACCUACUACCACUGUAUUUCGCAAUGUCGUUUAAUAUCCAGAUACUGGAAAAACGUCGCUAGGGAGCUUAGUUCAAUUUUUCAAAAAAAAAUACAUUGGACCCAGCUUUGUUCCUUCUGAGUAUACCUACGGCACAGCUCACUCUACCCACUGGACAGUUGAUUUUAUUGUAUAAAAUUCUGCUUUUAGCAAGGCCUUGUAUUCUGUUCCAGUGGAUUCAGGAGAAGCCACCCUCGAUUACAGAAUGGUACAGAGAAACAUUUCAGGCUUUUUCUAUGGAACGUCUUAGUGUUGUCUUAAAAGGUAACACCAAUGCUUUCUAUGAUGUAUGGCAACCCUUUCUUGAUUAUCAUCCUAAUGAUCUUGUUGAGCUAUUGCAGAAAGGACGCCCACACCUUGUUUUCACAAAUAAAUAGAUUGUUUAUUCUCUUCCCUUGACAUGACUCCAUUGUAAAGAAUGCUUAUGAUAUGAUCCAAAUAUGUGUUGAUGUAUCCAAUUUUUUUGUAACUUGGCAAGAUCUGUGCUGUGUUCUUUGUUUAACAAAAAAAAUCAA